CUACGGGCUGCACCAGUGGGGAAUAUUGGACAAUGGGCGGAAGCCUGAUCCAGCAAUGCCGCGUGUGUGAAGAAGGCCUGCGGGUUGUAAAGCACUUUCAGUAGGGAGGAAAGGGUAAAUGUUAAUAGCAUUUAUCUGUGACGUUACCUACAGAAGAAGCACCGGCUAAAUCUGUGCCAGCAGCCGCGGUAAUACAGAUGGUGCGAGCGUUAAUCGGAAUUACUGGGCGUAAAGCGCGCGUAGGCGGUUAUUUAAGUCAGUUGUGAAAGCCCAGGGCUCAACCUUGGAAUUGCAUUUGAUACUGAAUAGCUAGAGUACGAUAGAGGGGGGUGGAAUUUCCGGUGUAGCGGUGAAAUGCGUAGAUAUCGGAAGGAACAUCAGUGGCGAAGGCGACCCCCUGGAUUGAUACUGACGCUGAGGUGCGAAAGCGUGGGGAGCAAACAGGAUUAGAUACCCGUGUAGUC
rnacentral:rRNA from 1 species